rnacentral:rRNA from 1 species
UACGGAGGGGGCUAGCGUUGUUCGGAAUCAUUGGGCGUAAAGGGCGCGUAGGCGGCCGAUCAAGUCGGAGGUGAAAUCCCUCGGCUCAACUGAGGAAUUGCCUUCGAUACUGUUCGGCUUGAGUCCUGGAGAGGGUAGCGGAAUUCCCGGUGUAGCGGUGAAAUGUGUAGAGAUCGGGAGGAACACCGGUGGCGAAGGCGGGUCUCUGGGCAAUUCCUGACGCUGAGGCGCGAAAGCGUGGGGAGCAAACGGG